AUAUUAUUAUUCUAUAAUUUUUUCAUAUUUGUAAAAAUUGGCGAAUUUAAAUAAGCAUUUGAGAGCUAAAGAAGUUUCUAUAAAAAGUAAGCACAUUGGAUCCGAGACUUGCGUCUUGUGCUGUUGAGUUCUUGGCAAAAGAGUCGAAUCCAAAUUUGUCAGGUUUUGGUGAGCAGCCGCCACAGAUCAGUGUGUGUUGAGGAAGCCUUUGAUGAAGUCUCGGCUCAGUCGAUUAUUAGAAAGAUAGAUUCUCUCGAUUAUUAAAGUGAGGUGUAUCUUAUCUUGAGAGAGUGUUGACAGAUGUUUCGUGAAGUUGGAUGCAGAAUAGUGAUUAUCCCUCCCUGAUGAUGAAGAGCUUGUCCAAGAAGUCUUCCUUUUAAAAAACAAAAACUGUACCAAGAGAAGUGGACAACGGAACGAUGUGCAGUUUCCGAAUGGGUUGAAGAUUGGGACUACAACAAGAUUAUUAUCUACAAUAGAUGCCAAAUCGCAAUGCAUCAGGCAUGCUAUGGCGCUAGUUAAAAGUUUCCUCAUGGCAGGUUUACAUAUUUCCUUCAAAGAUGGCUUCAUAAAGAGCUGCAUUGAAGCCAACUAUUGUGGGAAUGUUGUGGGUUCAUGUGACGUGUGCUUGGUUUCAGCCUAAAGUAUGUUUUGCAAGUAAAGAAAAAUUGGAACCAACUGUUGGGAUAUUAAGUAUUGAGUAUUCCAUCAAGUAAAUUUUUGUGAAGAUAUGUGUCAAUAUGCAAACGAAUACACGGCUCGUGUACUCAGUGUUGCAAGUGCUCGUUAUAUGAAUGGAGAAGGAUGUGCAUGUAUGGUUACUAAUUUGAUCUAGACGAGCCAGAGGAAUUCAAGGUGCCAUGCUCAUGUAAAGGCUUGUAAACAGAUAUAACUCAAAAGGACGAAGAGAGCAUCCCUCAAGAUUCAAGACAGAAGCACUAAUUAAUCACCACCACCAGUAAAGGCUUGUAAACAGAGGAUAUAACUCAACUCAGCCUCUGAUGUAUUCACACACCACAUCACUCAAAAUUUGUAUGGUGUAUAAGUCUGAACCAAACUCUUUGCAACACAAAUCAUCAAUGCCACAACAAAAGUAACCAGUCGUAGAAAGAGCUAUUACUCUGAUGAGUAAGAAGGACUCUGUUUGGUGGAGAUGCAAGCUGAAUCUCGCACCUCCCAAGCAGCGUAAUGGAGUAGUGUAGAUAUCCCAAAGUUGCUCUGACUCUGAAGAUGGCUAGAAUAUGGAAUUCAAGCUUGUUGUUCUGCAACUGAUUUUGGAGAUCCAUCUUGUCUAUUUCAUGAAGGCUCCUGAAGUCUGAGGCGAAUCGUACAAACCUGAAUUUGGUCUCUUGAGUCAACAAGUUGAACGGAUAUAUGAAUUUCCGAGCAACUAGAUUGUUGUUGUAGAGUAGUUGCGUAGAAGAGGUUUGAAAGCUCACUUUGAUCCUCUUGUUGGAGUUUUCAAAACUCAAACUCACCAACAACUCGUUGAGGUUGGAAGAAUUGGAGCUUUGGAUGUUGAAGAUGGAGAACUUUGGUCGGAUGACAAGGAAUGCCAACGACCCAAAGAUUAAGAAAAGAGCAAAGAGAAAUACUAGACCUGCUACGAACUAAACCCAUAGUUUUGUUUUUCGCUGCGGUAGCAGAAACCGCGGUGAAGCCGCUUUUGGCGUGUUGGGUGCAGAAGAAUUUUAUGAGAUUUCUUCGGUGAUUUUGUGUAACAUUGUUGAAUGAUAUUCUUCAGACGAGUGCGACAUUGUUGUUGAAUGAUAUUCUGAAGAAGAAGAUGAAGAAGACUGAGCUACGACGAAGAGAAACGAAGAAGCGAAGAAGACGAAGAGAAGAAACAAAUCGGAAAAUUACUAUGUAUGGAGUAUUGUAGAGAAAUAGAGGCUUUAGUUU